rnacentral:rRNA from 1 species
CAUGCAAGUCGAACGGUAACAGGAAGCAGCUUGCUGCUUCGCUGACGAGUGGCGGACGGGUGAGUAAUGUCUGGGAAGCUGCCUGAUGGAGGGGGAUAACUACUGGAAACGGUAGCUAAUACCGCAUAAUGUCGCAAGACCAAAGAGGGGGACCUUCGGGCCUCUUGCCAUCGGAUGUGCCCAGAUGGGAUUAGCUUGUUGGUGGGGUAACGGCUCACCAAGGCGACGAUCCCUAGCUGGUCUGAGAGGAUGACCAGCCACACUGGAACUGAGACACGGUCCAGACUCCUACGGGAGGCAGCAGUGGGGAAUAUUGCACAAUGGGCGCAAGCCUGAUGCAGCCAUGCCGCGUGUAUGAAGAAGGCCUUCGGGUUGUAAAGUACUUUCAGCGGGGAGGAAGGGAGUAAAGUUAAUACCUUUGCUCAUUGACGUUACCCGCAGAAGAAGCACCGGCUAACUCCGUGCCAGCAGCCGCGGUAAUACGGAGGGUGCAAGCGUUAAUCGGAAUUACUGGGCGUAAAGCGCACGCAGGCGGUUUGUUAAGUCAGAUGUGAAAUCCCCGGGCUCAACCUGGGAACUGCAUCUGAUACUGGCAAGCUUGAGUCUCGUAGAGGGGGGUAGAAUUCCAGGUGUAGCGGUGAAAUGCGUAGAGAUCUGGAGGAAUACCGGUGGCGAAGGCGGCCCCCUGGACGAAGACUGACGCUCAGGUGCGAAAGCGUGGGGAGCAAACAGGAUUAGAUACCCUGGUAGUCCACGCCGUAAACGAUGUCGACUUGGAGGUUGUGCCCUUGAGGCGUGGCUUCCGGAGCUAACGCGUUAAGUCGACCGCCUGGGGAGUACGGCCGCAAGGUUAAAACUCAAAUGUAUUGACGGGGGCCCGCACAAGCGGUGGAGCAUGUGGUUUAAUUCGAUGCAACGCGAAGAACCUUACCUGGUCUUGACAUCCACGGAAGUUUUCAGAGAUGAGAAUGUGCCUUCGGGAACCGUGAGACAGGUGCUGCAUGGCUGUCGUCAGCUCGUGUUGUGAAAUGUUGGGUUAAGUCCCGCAACGAGCGCAACCCUUAUCCUUUGUUGCCAGCGGUCCGGCCGGGAACUCAAAGGAGACUGCCAGUGAUAAACUGGAGGAAGGUGGGGAUGACGUCAAGUCAUCAUGGCCCUUACGACCAGGGCUACACACGUGCUACAAUGGCGCAUACAAAGAGAAGCGACCUCGCGAGAGCAAGCGGACCUCAUAAAGUGCGUCGUAGUCCGGAUUGGAGUCUGCAACUCGACUCCAUGAAGUCGGAAUCGUUAGUAAUCGUGGAUCAGAAUGCCACGGUGAAUACGUUCCCGGGCCUUGUACACACCGCCCGUCACACCAUGGGAGUGGGUUGCAAAAGAAGUAGGUAGCUUAACCUUCGGGAGGGCGCUUACCACUUUGUGAUUCAUGACUGGGGUGAAGUCGUAACAAGGUA